rnacentral:rRNA from 1 species
GAGUUUGAUCGUGGCUCAGAUUGAACGCUGGCGGCAGGCCUAACACAUGCAAGUCGAACGGUAACAGGAAACAGCUUGCUGUUUCGCCGACGAGUGGCGGACGGGUGAGUAAUGUCUGGGAAACUGCCUGAUGGAGGGGGAUAACUACUGGAAACGGUAGCUAAUACCGCAUAACGUCGCAAGACCAAAGAGGGGGACCUUCGGGCCUCUUGCCAUCGGAUGUGCCCAGAUGGGAUUAGCUAGUAGGUGGGGUAACGGCUCACCUAGGCGACGAUCCCUAGCUGGUCUGAGAGGAUGACCAGCCACACUGGAACUGAGACACGGUCCAGACUCCUACGGGAGGCAGCAGUGGGGAAUAUUGCACAAUGGGCGCAAGCCUGAUGCGGCCAUGCCGCGUGUAUGAAGAAGCCUCGGUGUAAGUAUU